rnacentral:rRNA from 1 species
CAGAGGUGGCAAGCGUUGUUCGGAAUUACUGGGCGUAAAGGGCGCGUAGGCGGUUCCGCAAGUCCUGUGUGAAAUCCCCCGGCUCAACUGGGGAACUGCACAGGAAACUGCGGGGCUUGAGUUCGGGAGAGGGAAGCGGAAUUCCGGGUGUAGCGGUGAAAUGCGUAGAUAUCCGGAGGAACACCGGUGGCGAAGGCGGCUUCCUGGACCGAUACUGACGCUGAGGCGCGAAAGCUAGGGGAGCAAACGGGAUUAGAUACCCCGGUAGUCCUAGCUGUAAACGAUGAGCGCUGGGUGUAGGGGGUAUUAACCCCUCCUGUGCCGAAGCUAACGCAUUAAGCGCUCCGCCUGGGGAGUACGGUCGCAAGGCUG